GACUGAAUUCAGUUGGUUAAAUAAAGAGGUUAGUCUAGACUGGGCCUGCUCAUUCUAGGUCACCACAUUUUCCAUCUCCAAAUAGCCAGGCCCUCUCUCCCUCAAGAAAUGCCCAGAUGUAGAAAUUCAUCAGUGCCUAUUGGUCUUCCAGAAUUUUCCAUCUUCCAUAUCUCCCAGGCAUGAGACUACCAAGUUUGUUUGUUUUCUUUUCAGUUUGGGAAUUUAUACUUCAGUAUGGUUUCAACGCAGUUAUGUUUCCAGAGAACAUCUAGAAGUCAUUGGAAACCAGAAGCUGGGGAUUCCAGGGACCCCACUUAGUGCUCUAUUUCCUUUAUAGGUUUUAUUUCUGGUCAUAGAGAGAGGAGGACCUUUGACUUUUUCUUCCUUGAGGGUUCUGAGGAGGAAAAACAAACCUCAAAUAGAAAUACAGUCAGCCUUUCAAAUCCAUGGGUUCUGUGUCUGUGGAUUCAACCAACCUUGGAUCAAAAAUAUUUGAAAAAAAAUCUACAAAGUUUCAAAAAGCAAAACUUGAAUUUGCUGCAUGUCAAGAACUAUGCUGAAUUCAUGUAAAUAUAGUGAUGUGUAGGCAUUGUAUUAGAUAUUAUAAGAAAUCUAGAAAUGAUUUAAAGCAUACAGGAAGAUGUGCAUAGGUUAUAUGCAAAUACUAUGCCAUUUUAUAUAUGGGACUUGAGCAUUUGUGGAUUUUGAUAUUGGGGGAUCCUGGAACCAAUCCCCCAUGGAUACCAAAGUACGACUGUAGUUAUCUAUUUUUUACAUACUUAUUAUUACCACCAUGCUCAGUAAGUCCAUUUUUGCAUGGAAUAUGGAGCCUUAAAAUAUGUCAUGAAUUUGGAGUCCCUGGCACAUAAAUCUACCUUCAAAUCAGAGGUCCUUAAUGAUGCCUAAACAUACAGUAAAAUUAGAAUCAGAACUAUUUCUUUAAAAAAUAUUCGAAAUGUGUUUGCUUCCCAUGGGAUUAUUCUCUAUCCCACACGAAUGUAAAAAAUCCACAUUAAUGAUCCAUUUAAGUACAGUUUUAUUGGGUCCUUUUCUAAUGAUUAAAGGUUCUUUCUCAAUUUCAUUCCUCAGUCCUGCAAAUAAGGACUCAUACUGAAGAGUACUGAAACAAGGACUCUUAACAGCUUCUGGAAUCUUGGGUUUUGUUUUUGUUUUUUGACAUAAAAUACACUAUUGGCCAUGUCCAUCACGAGAGUGUUUGUAGUAAUUAAUUACCUUGUACAGGGCCUGGCACUUAGUAGCAUUCUUCAAAUGUUCCCUCAGUGAUCCUUUUACUCUCCUUGUCACUUAUUUGGGAGAAAUAGGGGCACGUGAGAUAAGAAGAAGAAUUUUGAUGUUGGUAUGCUUGCCCUGUUACUUAUAGACAGUCUUCAUCAUAGGCAAACUUGAAUUUGAUUAAAAAUAGGGCUGGGAAGAAUAUUCAAUAACUGUAAGCCCCCUUUUGGAUGCCAAAUUUAGAAUUUUGUACAUUCUCUGAUGAACAAGCAUUUAGAUCGUAACAUGGUAAAGCCUAUUACCAGCCAAUGUUGUUAGCAUCUUUGUAUGCACAUCACUGUUUGUGCAAUAUAUGAAUAUUUUGUUGCAUUGUAUUCUUAUAUAAAACUAAGUAGAAAACAUAAAAUUGAAGUUGCUGAUGACAA
ensembl:lncRNA